UACAGAGGGGGCAAGCGUUGUUCGGAAUUACUGGGCGUAAAGGGCGCGUAGGCGGCCUGCUAAGUCGAACGUGAAAUCCCCGGGCUCAACCCGGGAACUGCGUCCGAUACUGGCAGGCUUGAAUCCGGGAGAGGGAUGUGGAAUUCCAGGUGUAGCGGUGAAAUGCGUAGAUAUCUGGAGGAACACCGGUGGCGAAGGCGGCUCUCUGGGCCUUACCUGACGCUGACACGCGAAAGCUAGGGGAGCGAACGGG
rnacentral:rRNA from 1 species